rnacentral:rRNA from 1 species
GAUGAACGCUGGCGGCGUGCCUAAUACAUGCAAGUCGAGCGAACGGACGAGAAGCUUGCUUCUCUGAUGUUAGCGGCGGACGGGUGAGUAACACGUGGAUAACCUACCUAUAAGACUGGGAUAACUUCGGGAAACCGGAGCUAAUACCGGAUAAUAUUUUGAACCGCAUGGUUCAAAAGUGAAAGACGGUCUUGCUGUCACUUAUAGAUGGAUCCGCGCUGCAUUAGCUAGUUGGUAAGGUAACGGCUUACCAAGGCAACGAUGCAUAGCCGACCGGAGAGGGGGACCGGCCAAACGGGAAUGAAAACACGGCCAGGAUCCCACGGGGAGGCGCAAGAGGGGAUUCUUCGGCAGGGGGCGAAGGCCUGAGGGGGCACCGCGGGGGGAGUGAUAAGGGUCUUCGAAUCGAAAAACCUUUUUAUUGGGAAAAAAAAUAUGUGAAGGAAACUGGCCAAUUCUGGACGGUACCAAAUAAAAAAGCCACGGCAAACUACGUC